UACGCAUCCCCAGGCCCACUUCCUGUGCCGCCAUCGCAAAACAAGGGCAGCUUCGGGAAGAACACAGUGAAAAGUGACGCGGACGGGACCGAGGGAAGCGAAAUCGAGGACACUGAUGAUUCUCCCAAGCCCGCAGGAGUCGCCGUUAAAACACCUACUGAAAAAGUUGAAAAGAUGUUUCCACAUCACAAAAAUGUGAAUAAACCGGUCGGUGGAACUAAUGUUCCUGAGAUGUUUAUCAAAAAAGAAGAAUUACAAGAACUAAAGUGUGCGGAUGUGGAGGAUGAAGACUGGGACAUAUCAUCCCUAGAGGAAGAGAUAUCUUUGGGAAAAAAAUCUGGGAAAGAACAGAAGGAACCUCCACCUGCGAAAAAUGAACCACAUUUUGCUCAUGUGCUAAAUGCCUGGGGCGCAUUUAAUCCUAAGGGGCCAAAGGGAGAAGGUUUGCUGCUUUCCCCUCUAAUACAAGCUCGAUCCAUUUUCUUAUUAGUUGUGUUUCAUCUUUAUAAAUAUCUAAUUAACUUAUGCUGGUAUAUCAUCAGACAAAAAAGCUGUCAGUGCUUUCUUUAUGUUAUUUAAAUAAGGAUUGGAUAUGCAUAA
rnacentral:sRNA from 1 species